UACAGAGGUCUCAAGCGUUGUUCGGAUUCAUUGGGCGUAAAGGGUGCGUAGGCGGCGCCGUAAGUCUGGUGUGAAAUCUCGGGGCUUAACCCCGAAACUGCACUGGAUACUGCGGUGCUUGAGGACUGGAGAGGAGAUUGGAAUUCACGGUGUAGCAGUGAAAUGCGUAGAUAUCGUGAGGAAGACCAGUGGCGAAGGCGGAUCUCUGGACAGUUCCUGACGCUGAGGCACGAAGGCCAGGGGAGCAAACGGG
rnacentral:rRNA from 1 species